rnacentral:rRNA from 1 species
UACGUAGGGGGCAAGCGUUGGUCCGGAAUCAUUGGGCGUAAAGCGCGUGUAGGCGGCCCGGUAAGUCCGCUGUGAAAGUCGGGGGCUCAACCUCGAGACGCCGGUGGAAACCGUAAAGCUAGAGUCCGGAAGAGGAGAAUGGAAUUCCUGGUGUAGCGGUGAAAUGCGCAGAUAUCAGGAAGAACACCCGUGGCGAAGGCGGCUCUCUGGGACGGUACUGACGCUGAGACGCGAAAGCGUGGGGAGCGAACAGG